rnacentral:misc_RNA from 1 species
GCAAGCUAAGAAAAACUCAGAAUCAAUUAUAGCGUUUCCACAUCCCUACUCAUUUAUGGAACAUAUUUCCAUUUCCUCCGCAAUUUCUGACCCCAUGUUCAGGGUGCGUCCUAGGGGAAUAUCUCCACAAUAACAGAAUGCACAUAUUAAUAAUAUAUGAUGGUCUUAGUAAACUGGCCAGAGCAUAUCAGCUAGCUAACACUUUUGCAAACUGUGGCAUCAGGCCUUUUUGCAUCUUUUUACCCAUUUGCAAGCUGGUCUUUUCUUUUUGCUGCAUACAGUGGACAAUCACCAUAUCCUUUUUUAAUUCUAUGGAGGAAAGAAUUGACAUCUCAGUCGUUAUUAGUGAAAUGGAUCGAACUUAGCA